rnacentral:rRNA from 1 species
UACAGAGGGGGCGAGCGUUGUUCGGAAUUACUGGGCGUAAAGGGCGCGUAGGCGGCCUUCUAAGUCGAACGUGAAAUCCCCGGGCUCAACCCGGGAACUGCGUCCGAUACUGGAAGGCUUGAAUCCGGGAGAGGGAUGCGGAAUUCCAGGUGUAGCGGUGAAAUGCGUAGAGUAUCUGGAGGAACACCGGUGGCGAAGGCGGCAUCCUGGACCAUAACUGACGCUGAGGCGCGAAAGCUAGGGGAGCAAACGGG